UACGUAGGGUGCAAGCGUUGUCCGGAAUUAUUGGGCGUAAAGAGCUCGUAGGCGGCCUGUCGCGUCGGAUGUGAAAACUCGGGGCUUAACCCCGAGCCUGCAUUCGAUACGGGCAGGCUAGAGUUCGGCAGGGGAGACUGGAAUUCCUGGUGUAGCGGUGAAAUGCGCAGAUAUCAGGAGGAACACCGGUGGCGAAGGCGGGUCUCUGGGCCGAUACUGACGCUGAGGAGCGAAAGCGUGGGGAGCGAACAGG
rnacentral:rRNA from 1 species